GAUGAACGCUGGCGGCGUGCCUAAUACAUGCCAGUCGAGCGAACAGACGAGGAGCUUGCUCCUCUGACGUUAGCGGCGGACGGGUGAGUAACACGUGGAUAACCUACCUAUAAGACUGGGAUAACUUCGGGAAACCGGAGCUAAUACCGGAUAAUAUAUUGAACCGCAUGGUUCAAUAGUGAAAGACGGUUUUGCUGUCACUUAUAGAUGGAUCCGCGCCGCAUUAGCUAGUUGGUAAGGUAACGGCUUACCAAGGCAACGAUGCGUAGCCGACCUGAGAGGGUGAUCGGCCACACUGGAACUGAGACACGGUCCAGACUCCUACGGGAGGCAGCAGUAGGGAAUCUUCCGCAAUGGGCGAAAGCUUGACGGAGCAACGCCGCGUGAGUGAUGAAGGUCUUCGGAUCGUAAAACUCUGUUAUUAGGGAAGAACAAAUGUGUAAGUAACUAUGCACGUCUUGACGGUACCUAAUCAGAAAGCCACGGCUAUCUACGUG
rnacentral:rRNA from 1 species